UACGUGGGGGGCAAGCGUUGUUCGGAAUUACUGGGCGUAAAGGGUUCGUAGGUGGCUUGCUAAGUCAGACGUGAAAUCCCUCAGCUUAACUGGGGAACUGCGUCUGAUACUGGCGAGCUUGAGUGCAGGAGAGGAACGCAGAAUUCCAGGUGUAGCGGUGAAAUGCGUAGAUAUCUGGAGGAAUACCGGUGGCGAAGGCGGCGUUCUGGACUGCAACUGACACUGAUGAACGAAAGCCAGGGGAGCAAACGGG
rnacentral:rRNA from 1 species